AAUGCAAACAACUCAACAGCCCUGCAACACAUUUCUAUAAAUGUUCAGAUUUGGUGGGAGAAACAUGUCAGAGGAUUUGUAUAAAAGUGUUUCCAAUAUGUUGUCCAUCUCAGAUGCUGUAAUCAUGACUGUGCUUGUCUUGACAAGAGGCCUGCCUACAAAGGAAAAGUACCACUGCCUCCAAAUGAGGAAAGAACCUUUUCUCAUCAUCCAGUCUCUCAAGAGUCCCUGACUUCAAAUGAUUUUCUCCUGCAAAAAUCCACCUCUCUUC